AUACGGAGGAUCCGAGCGUUAUCCGGAUUUAUUAGGGUUAAAGGGUGCGCAGGCGGAACUGUAAGUCACCGGUGAAAUCCUACAGCUUAACUGUAGAACUGCCGGUGAUACUGCGAUUCUUGAGUAUAGUUGAGGUAGGCGGAAUGUGUAGUGUAGCGGUGAAAUGCAUAGAUAUUACACAGAACACCGAUUGCGAAGGCAGCUUACUAAACUAUUACUGACGCUCAUGCACGAAAGCGUGGGGAGCGAACAGGAUUAGAAACCCGAGUAGUCC
rnacentral:rRNA from 1 species